UCAAGUCCUCCUCUGCAUCGAUCCGUCUAGAUCUGGGGAUUACCUGUGCACAUUUAAACAAAAUGGGUGAGUUUACGAAAACUCAGUGUGUAAUGCCACAGAAAACAAACAAUAGCAAAUCAUAGUGCAUAGUUAAAACAGUCCUAGGCCUAAGCCCUUUUUCAGUAUCAGUAACAAUUUGGGCCUUAGCCCAUCUCAGUACAGUAUCAAAUAUGCAGUAGGGUCUUAGCCAAUCACAGUAUCAGUAACAGUCAUACAGUAUUCAGUAACAAAGUCCUACCCAACCAGCCUCUACACACCAUCUCCGUCCAACCCUACACUCCAUGUGGGGAUCAAAUCAACCCACCUAUCCCUACACUGCAGGUAGUACCGAAUGCGGCACAAAACAGUAAUUUGUAGUUGAGUUGCCAAUAUGUUAGGCUUAAGAGCCUUUCAGUACACUUCCUCCCAAUAUAAUUAACCCAACCCCAUGCAAUGCAACAUAAAAGUCAUGACAGGCUAUCUCAGGACAUCAGUACAUAUAACCAGUUCAGUAUACAAGCAUACUAUCACCAUGCUCAACACAUAUAUAAAUCAAACAGUCAGUUUGUAUAAUUAGGGGUCUAAGUGUUGCUUACUCACCCUACAGUAGGUUCACAGUCGACUUGGACGACCCAUGCAACCUCAGUAACCAAUUCAGUGAAAAUGGGUCCACACGCCCAUGUGGUCUGCCCGUGUGGCCCAUUCAGCCCAAAUUGGCCUUGGCCGCGUGGUCCAUUUUUAAUGUAACCCGUGCUAGCUAAAUAUCCAUAUAUGUUUUCACUUUUUACUUAUAUGUUCCUUCAAAGCUAUCUACUUGAGUCACUGUUACUAAAUUAUUUAUAUCUUGAGCUACAGAAUUCUGAAUUAAGAUCUAUUUGAUGUCUUUGAAACUAGACUCAAAUAAAUUUCUACCAUAAAAUUUUUAGAAUUUUUGGUUCAGCCAAUAAGUACAGUAAAAUCUUCAAUCUUACCCAUGUUCUGCUGUCUGACAGCUUCGACCUUUCUUUGCUAAAAAUUAAUUAUCUCUUAGUACAAAAUUUCAAUGAUAUUGCCAUUUGUUUCUAUUGAAAAUAUACUUAUUAAUAAUUUAAACAUGUAAAUUUUAACCCCUAAUUAUUUUUCUCCAAUUUUUGAUGAUUUUCCAAAGUUAGAAAAGGGGAACCCGAAUUCAUUCUAACCUUAUCUCACAAAACUUAUUAUAUCUCACGAUUUACAAUUUCAUUACUUACACAGUUUCUUCUAUGAGAAACUAGACUCAAUAAGAUUUAAUUUCAUAUUCUUUUCAUCCUCUAAUUCGAUUUCCACAAUUUAUGGUGAUUUUUCAAAUUUAGUCUACUACUGUUGUGCAAACAGCAAGAAAUUUCGGCUUUUCGUCGAAUCUCGUUUUCUGCGUUUUGGGUACACACCUCAUUUCCUUUGAUGCUAAAACAUUCUCCAAGCACUCCAGAUCCUAUAAUUGAACAAAUAACACUAAUUUAAUCUCACAUAAUGUGAUCCCAAAUUGAACUCGUAUCGAGGUUUUAACCCAUAAGCGACUAAACCUUACCUUCAACCGAUGAACAGUAAUUCCCACAUAAACUAAGACUCCGAUUGGUGAUUAUGAUCCCUUGAAUCCUCCCCGAACGAUUGCAGACAAACGUGGAGCAACAUGAGGCAGAGUGGGAAAAGAAAAAUCAAGAAGAUGAAGGGUGAAAGAAAGCAGAAAUUCGGCAGCAAUGAAAAGAAAAACGGCAAGAGGGUAGAGGGAUUUUAGGCGAAGUAAAAAAAAGAAAAAAAUAUUUGAUAAUCACCCUAAUUCCUUAUUUCUCUCCAUCAAACUCCCCACUAAAUCCACUACUCAAAUUUUUAGUCCAUCUUAAACUCUCCUGGACGCACGAGCAAAAAUAAUGCCCACGCCAAGAUUUGAACACAGGUCCUCCUUCACACCAACAUUCCACUUAUCCACCAGACCAAUAGGCCCAUUCUGUUAAUUAUUUUCCAAAUUUUAAUUAAAAUCCUACUGACCAAAGAUAAGGAUUAUUCAAAAAAAUACCAUAAUUUUCCCAAGUCUUGGCUUGAACUUAGGACCUCCCAAACAUACCCGGAACACAUAACCACUAAAGCAGCAGACAAAUAU
rnacentral:lncRNA from 1 species